rnacentral:rRNA from 1 species
UACGUAGGGUGCGAGCGUUGUCCGGAAUUAUUGGGCGUAAAGGGCUCGUAGGCGGUUUGUCGCGUCGGGAGUGAAAACUCAGGGCUUAACCCUGAGCCUGCUUCCGAUACGGGCAGACUAGAGGUAUGCAGGGGAGAACGGAAUUCCUGGUGUAGCGGUGAAAUGCGCAGAUAUCAGGAGGAACACCGGUGGCGAAGACGGGUUGCUAGGCCGACACUGACGCUGAAGCGCGAAAGCCAGGGGAGCAAACGGG